rnacentral:rRNA from 1 species
GAAUAUUGGACAAUGGGGGGAACCCUGAUCCAGCCAUGCCGCGUGUGUGAAGAAGGCCUUUUGGUUGUAAAGCACUUUAAGCGAGGAGGAGGAGCUCUUGGUUAAUACCCAAGAGUCUUGGACGUUACUCGCAGAAUAAGCACCGGCUAACUCGCUUCCAGCAGCCGCGGUAUACAGAGGGUGCAAGCUGUAAUCGGAUUUACUGGGCGUAAAGGGCGCGUAGGUGGCCAAUUAAGUUAAAUGUGAAAUCCCCGAACUUAACGUUGGAAUUGCAUUCGAUACUGUUUGGCUAGAGUAUGGGAGAGGAUGGUAGAAUUCCAGGUGUAGCGGUGAGAUGCGUAGAGAUCUGGAGGAAUACCGAUGGCGAAGGCAGCCAUCUGGCCUAAUACUGACACUGAGGUGCGAAAGCAUGGGGAACAAACA